rnacentral:RNase_P_RNA from 1 species
GGCCAGACGGUCGCAUGGCGCCCGCGUAUUACGCGGGAAUGAAUGAGGAAAGUCCGGGCUCCACAGGGCAAGGAUGCCGAGAUAACGUCCGGCGUAGGUAACUAUAGGGAAAGUGCAACAGAAACAUACCGCCGAAACGGGUCAUGCCGUGGCAAGGUUGAAAUGGCGAGGUAAGAGCUCACCGGCGCCGUGGUGACACGGCGGCCGUGUAAACCCCAUCCGGAGCAAGGUCGGGGGACAUGAAGGGGCGGCCCGUCCCUGUCCCGUUAGCGGACCGCAUGAGCGAGCAGUGAUGUUUCGCCUAGAUAGAUGAUCGUCUAAUACAGAACCCGGCUUACAGACCUGCCCAA